rnacentral:tRNA from 1 species
GAGUUUGCAGCUUUGUGGCCUUGGUUUUGCAAAAACCAAUGAGAAACGUAUAGUUUCCAAACU